rnacentral:misc_RNA from 1 species
AAAAAAAAAAGAAUUUGAUUCUAGCAAAAUCUGAGCCUUGCUAUGCUCAACCCGGGAGUUCAGUGUUCCCCCCACUCUCCAGAAUUGGAUAUUUUAGGCCCGACCCAUGUAAUCUUCAUUCAAAACAAGCAAGCUUCGUUAUGGGCUUCGAUAAUUGAGUUUCCUUUCUUUUUCUUUUAUGGUCCAGUUCAGCAUUUUGAUAAAUUAAAUAAUUUAUAAAAAUUCAAACAGGAGUGUACUGUGUAG